GUAAUGUUUCAGCACUAAUGGGCCAUUACAGUGAGCGGGUUAUGGUCUCAGCAUUUCUUUUGAGUAAUAAUGUUGUGCUGGGCAUCAGCUUCUCCUGCUGACAACAGCCUGAAGUGGAACCACAGCUAAAAACAGGCUGCCAUCAGGGACUGGGAGACUGAGGCAAGCAGAGAGAAAGUCACAUCUGGAUGAGAAGGAGCAGCUUCUCUGCCUGAAGCCUGGUGCUGGGCCCACCCCAGUUACUUUGCAAGGUCUGUGAAGAGUGGCUUUCCAACACCCACCAAGCUUAACAGAUGUGGCAGAACUGAAGCGUGGAAGGUCUUUCCUUGGGAGAAACAUAUCAGCUAUCUUGAGACAUGAGAUGCCAACAGCUAUGAACCUCACUGCUCAUUUGAUACCUGCCUUGGUAAAAGGAUGUGAAAGCAGAUAGAAGUUGUUAAGGUAAGUGUGUGAAAUGCCAAAGCAGAGAGCGGGCAGCUGUUCAGCAAGUGAAACACAGUGAAAAUGGGCACGUCCAAACGGUGACAUGGUGAGCUGCAUUCCUUACCCAGCUGUGGCCUGCCCUGAUAUGGCAAUAUGCAGCCUUCUUCAAGGAG
rnacentral:lncRNA from 1 species